rnacentral:rRNA from 1 species
UACAGAGGUGGCAAGCGUUGUUCGGAAUUACUGGGCGUAAAGGGCGCGUAGGCGGCCUUCUAAGUCAGGUGUGAAAGCCCGGGGCUCACCUCCGGAAGUGCGCUUGAAACUGGUCGGCUAGAGUACGGGAGAGGGAAGCGGAAUUCCUGGUGUAGCGGUGAAAUGCGUAGAUAUCAGGAGGAACACCGGCGGCGAAGGCGGCUUCCUGGACCGAUACUGACGCUGAGACGCGAAAGCGUGGGGAGCAAACAGG